rnacentral:sRNA from 1 species
ACAGCAAAACUUUUGACGGAGGCCAAACUACUUUAUGGCUUCUGGGGGGACUGGUCUGCUUGGAGUUGCUUACCGAACUGCUCUGUAAGAAAUAUAGUCCGUACAAGACCUUGUCUUGAUCCACCGCAAGGUCCGCGUGAUUUUAAUUGUCCAGGAUUCGCCUACCAGCUCGGGGACAAGACACCUUGCAAUGAACAGUGCGCCACAAACUGCUCUAAAGGUCGGUGGGGCUUCAAUUGCUCCAAGUCUUGCAUCAACUGUGAAACUGCAUGUGACAAAGACACAGGCAGCUGCGCGGUGUGUAUCCCAGGAUAUCGUUACCCCAGCACAGCAUGCGAUCAAGAGUGCGGUCCCUUUACUUUCGGUCGUGGUUGUUCGGGAGACUGCAGCACCAUCUGUCGUGGGAAAGACUGUAUUGAUAGAAGGCUUGGCACUUGCCCUGCUGAGACACAUGACUGGAAAUCAAAGAUUUGGUAUUUCAUUUUUGUAGUCUGUAUCAUCUUAACGGUUGCCCUUUGCAAGUUGAGUGGCAGACGUCCACCGCAGAAGUACGCAACGGAAGAGGACGCUGUGAUCAAUGAAGGCCGUGAAGUGUUUGACGGUCUUUAACCUCCGCCUGGGCUGCUGGGGCUACCUUACUAGGGCACACUGACAUCUAGGAUAGACCAGAGACCUCUGACUUUUGAAGGAACAUAGCUCAAGCGUUGUUGACACAGUCAAUGGUUCUUAUCGAUAGUGUUAAUAAGAAAAUGCAUUCAUGAUUUGUCAUCGCCGCAAUCCCAUAAAUCAUCGUGAUAAUCACCAAUCGCCUAGAUGACAUGUUGUAUCUAUUUAAUGACAUUUCUUUGCGAUGCCUUAUUGAUACUUGUAAUAUUUCAUGAGUACACAUUAAGGCAUUUGACAUGUUUUUUUGAUGUGUUUAAAUAGUGUAUGGUCAUUUUGUUCUAUUAAUAACUUUAAUAAUAAAGUGUAGUUGUUUUU